AUGCCAUGGAAAGCGAUGGCCUCACUCACUAUUUUGAUCGUGUGGGAUGUUUGGAAUGAGUGAAAAACAUGUAACUUCCGUUACCUUUCCACCAUGCCCAAUUCUGUCUUCUAGAAGAUCAAGUCUAAGGCAGUCUCAUCGGCCUUAGUAGGGGCAAAGCAUUUGAGUUCUAUAAUGGCAUGA
rnacentral:rRNA from 1 species